GGAAGUAAAAGUCGUAACAAGGUUUCCGUAGGUGAACCUGCGGAAGGAUCAUUAACGAACUCUCGAAGGUCGCAGUUGCUGCUGGGCUUCUCAGAAGUCAUCGUGCACACGGCGACUCUUCUUGUUCAGCCURUCUACCCCCUAUCUGUGCACCCCUUGUAGGUCGAGAACUUUCUCGGCCUAUGCUUUCUCACAAAGCCUCCCGAUCUCUCGAUGAAUGGCAAUCGUUCGAGCCCUGUCUCGACAUAUAAACAGUCAGCACAACUUUCAACAACGGAUCUCUUGGCUCUCGCAUCGAUGAAGAACGCAGCGAAAUGCGAUAAGUAAUGUGAAUUGCAGAAUUCAGUGAAUCAUCGAAUCUUUGAACGCACCUUGCGCCCCUUGGUAUUCCGAAGGGCAUGCCUGUUUGAGUGUCAUCGAACCAUCAACCCGAGAGUGGCUUUCAAAGUCUCUUCAUCGGUGUUUGGAGUUUGCGGUGUUGCGGGAAGCUCUCAGGAGCUCCCUGCUCCUCGCGGAAUGCAUCAGCGGACGUCCACCUGCGGUCCAGCUUUGGCGUGAUAACUGUCUACGUCUCGGUCUGGAUUGCUUUCAUCGGGCGCCGCUUCCAACCUUUUGCCGUCCUUGCGGGGAUGGGCUUACCGACGAUUUGACCUCAAAUCAGGCAGGAUUACCCGCUGAACUUAAGCAUAUCAAUAAGCGGAGGAAAAGAAACUAACAAGGAUUCCCCUAGUAACUGCGAGUGAAGCGGGAAAAGCUCAAAUUUAAAAUCUGGCGGU
rnacentral:rRNA from 1 species